AUGCUUUAACAUGCGAGUCGAACGGCAGCACGGAGAGCUUGCUCUCUGGUGGCGAGUGGCGAACGGGUGAGUAAUAUAUCGGAACGUGUCCAAUAAUGGGGGAUAACGAGUCGAAAGAUUCGCUAAUACCGCAUACGCCCUACGGGGGAAAGCAGGGGAUCGUAAGACCUUGCGUUAAUGGAGCGGCCGAUAUCUGAUUAGCUUGUUGGUGAGGUAAAGGCUCACCAAGGCGACGAUCAGUAGCUGGUUUGAGAGAACGACCAGCCACACUGGAACUGAGACACGGUCCAGACUCCUACGGGAGGCAGCAGUGGGGAAUUUUGGACAAUGGGGGCAACCCUGAUCCAGCCAUUCCGCGUGAGUGAAGAAGGCCUUCGGGUUGUAAAGCUCUUUCGCAAGGGAAGAAAACUUAUGAUCGAAUAAAUCAUGAGGUUGACGGUACCUUGAUAAGAAGCACCGGCUAACUACGUGCCAGCAGCCGCGGUAAUACGUAGGGUGCGAGCGUUAAUCGGAAUUACUGGGCGUAAAGCGUGCGCAGGCGGUUUUGUAAGUCGGAUGUGAAAUCCCCGGGCUCAACCUGGGAACUGCGUUCGAAACUGCAAGGCUAGAGUGUGUUAGAGGGGGGUAGAAUUCCACGUGUAGCAGUGAAAUGCGUAGAGAUGUGGAGGAAUACCAAUGGCGAAGGCAGCCCCCUGGGAUACACUGACGCUCAUGCACGAAAGCGUGGGGAGCAAACAGGAUUAGAUACCCUGGUAGUCCACGCCCUAACGAUGUCACUAGUGUUGGUAGAGUAAAUCUAUGAGUACGUAGCUA
rnacentral:rRNA from 1 species